ACUCCUACGGGAGGCAGCAGUGGGGAAUCUUAGACAAUGGGGGAAACCCUGAUCUAGCCAUGCCGCGUGAGUGACGAAGGCCCUAGGGUCGUAAAAGCUCUUUCGCCAGGGAUGAUAAUGACAGUACCUGGUAAAGAAACCCCGGCUAACUCCGUGCCAGCAGCCGCGGUAAUACGGAGGGUGCGAGCGUUAAUCGGAAUUACUGGGCGUAAAGCGCAUGCAGGUGGUUUGUUAAGUCAGAUGUGAAAGCCCGGGGCUCAACCUCGGAAUUGCAUUUGAAACUGGCAGGCUAGAGUACUGUAGAGGGGGUAG
rnacentral:rRNA from 1 species